UGAUAAAAAUUUUAUCCAUUUGUACCGUUAAAAAUUAACUUGGCAAGUAGAAUAACUAGAAAGUGACAUGUGGCAUGCCAAGUGUACCUCAUGCUGACAUACUGAGACCAAAUUUUAAUAGUGAAAAUUGAUGAAAUUUUUAACA
rfam:Gossypium raimondii Chr10_contig_1376, whole genome shotgun sequence.